AUUUAAAUAGUUUAAUUAAAAACUUUAAUUUGUGGAAUUAAAAUUAUAUAUAAAAUAUUUUAAAUU
rnacentral:tRNA from 1 species